GCAUGCCUGUUCGAGCGUCAUUUCAACCCUCAAGCUCUGCUUGGUGUUGGGGCUCUACGGUUGACGUAGGCCCUUAAAGGUAGUGGCGGACCCUCCCGGAGCCUCCUUUGCGUAGUAACAUUUCGUCUCGCAUUGGGAUUCGGAGGGACUCUAGCCGUAAAACCCCCAAUUUUACUAAGGUUGACCUCGGAUCAGGUAGGAAUACCCGCUGAACUUAAGCAUAUCAAUAAGCGGAGGAAAAGAAACCAACAGGGAUUGCCCCAGUAACGGCGAGUGAAGCGGCAACAGCUCAAAUUUGAAAUCUNGNCCCUAGGCCCGAGUUGUAAUUUGCAGAGGAUGCUUUUGGCGCGGUGCCUUCCGAGUUCCCUGGAACGGGACGCCAUAGAGGGUGAGAGCCCCGUACGGUUGGACACCAAGUCUUUGUAAAGCUCCUUCGACGAGUCGAGUAGUUUGGGAAUGCUGCUCAAAAUGGGAGGUAUAUUUCUUCUAAAGCUAAAUAUUGGCCAGAGACCGAUAGCGCACAAGUAGAGUGAUCGAAAGAUGAAAAGCACUUUGAAAAGAGGGUUAAACAGCACGUGAAAUUGUUAAAAGGGAAGCGCUUGUGACCAGACUUGCGUCCGGUGAAUCACCCAGCUCUCGCGGCUGGGGCAUUUUGCCGGCUCAGGCCAGCAUCAGCUUGCCGUCGGGGACAAAAGCUUCGGGAACGUAGCUCUCUUCGGGGAGUGUUAUAGCCCGUUGCAUAAUACCUUCGGUGGGCUGAGGUACGCCGUCCGCAAGGAUGCUGGCGUAAUGGUCAUCAGCGACCCGUCUUGAAACACGGACCAAGGAGUCAACCUUAUGUGCGAGUGUUUGGGUGUUAAACCCCUACGCGUAAUGAAAGU
rnacentral:rRNA from 1 species